UGAUGGCGUCUGUGCGCGGGGCUCAUGCAAAAGGGCUCGUGCAUGGCUCAUGCAACGAUGCUAGUGCAAGGGGUGCUUGUGCAAGGGGGCUUGUGCAAGGGGGCUUGUGCAAAGGGUGCUCGUGCAAGGGGGCUUGUGCAAGGAGCUGGUGCAAUGGUGCUUGUGUUCAGGGCUCGUGCAAAACUGCUUGUGCAUGGCUCAUUCAAUGAUGCUCGUGCAAAGGGGCUUGUGCAAGGGGUUGGUGCGCUGGUGCUUGUGCGCAGGGCUUGUGCAAAAGUGCUUGUGUAAAAGUGCUCGUGCAGGGCUCAUUCAGUGGUGCUUGUGCAGGGGGGCUGGUGCAAGGGGCUGGUGUGAUGGCGUUUGUGCGUGGGGCUCAUGCAAAGGGGCUCAUACAAAGGGGCUUGUGCAAGGGGGAUUGUGCAAGGGGUGCUUGUGCAAGGAGCUGGUGCAAUGGUGCUUGUGUGCAGGGCUUGUGCAAAACUGCUUGUGCAGGGCUCGUUCAAUGAUGCUUGUGCAAAGGGGCUUGUGCAAGGGGUUGGUGCGGUGGCGCUUGUGCGCAGGGCUUGUGCAAAAGUGCUUGUGUAAAAGUGCUCGUGCAUUCAGUGGCGCUUGUGCAGGGGGGCUUGUGCAAGGGGCUGGUGCAACGUCACUUGUGUGCAGUGCUUGUGCAAAGGGGCUCAUAAAAAGGGGCUUGUGUAUGGCUCAUGCAACGACGCUUGUGCAAGGGGUGCUUGUGCAAGGGGGCUUGUGCAAGGGGGCUUGUGCAAUGGUGCUUGUGUGCAGGGCUUGUGCAAAACUGCUUGUGCAGGGCUCAUUCAAUGAUGCUUGUGCAAGGGGUUGGUGCGCUGGCGCAUGUGCGCAGGGCUUGUGCAAAAGUGCUUGUGUAAAACCUUGUGCAGGGCUCAUUCAGUGGCACUUGUGCAGGGGGGCUGGUGCAAGGGGCCGGCACGAUGGCGCUUGUGAGCAGUGCUCGUGCAAAAGUGCUCGUGCAUGGCUCAUUCAAUGGUGCUUGUGCAAGGGGGCUUGUGCAAGGGGCUGGCACAAUGAUGCUUGUGCACAGGGUUUGUGCAAAGGGGCUCAUGCAAAAGUGCUCGUGCGUUGCACAUUCAAUGGAGCUUGUGCACGGGGGCUUGUGCAAGGGGCUGGUGCAACGUCACUUGUGUGCAGGGCUUGUGCAAAGGGGCUCAUACAAAGGGGCUUGUGUAUGGCUCACGCAACGACGCUUGUGCAAGGGGUGCUUGUGCAAGGGGUGCUUGUGCAAGGGGUGCUUGUGCAAGGGGGCUUUUGCAAGGGGCUGAUGCGAUGGCACGUGCAUAGGGCUCACGCAAAGGGGCUUGUGCAAAAGUGCUUGUGCGUGGCUCAUGCAACGGUGCUUGUGCAAGGGGUCUCGUGCAAGAGGGUUUGUGCAAGAGGGUUUGUGCAAGGGGAGUUGUGCAACAGCACUUGUGCAAAAGCACUUGGGCAAAGGCAUUCGUGCAAGAGGGCUUGUGCAAAGCUGCUUGGCCAAGGGGGGCUCGUGCAACAGCGCUUGUGCAGUGGCGCUUGUGCAAAGGGGCUCGUGCAAGGGGGGCACUUGUGCAAAGGGCGCUUGUGCAAGCUGUGCCCCCCCCCCCCCACCAUGCAGCUGGAGCUGAUCGGCCACAGCGUCUUCGACUUCGUGCACCCGUGCGACCACGAGGAGCUGCAGGAUGUGCUCAGCCCCCGGC
rnacentral:lncRNA from 1 species